ACCCACCAUGUGGAUCUCAAGGUACUCUAAACUCUUUUAGUCAUCUAUCUAUGUAAAUUUCAAAGCAUCCUUGGUAUAUGACCCAUAGUUAACAAUCACUCUCUGCAUAGAUUUCGAAGCACUCUGAACUUUAUUCAUCUACUUAUAGAGAUCUCAAAGCAUUCUUAGUAUAUAUGACUCAUAGUUAAGGAUCAUCGGUACA
rnacentral:lncRNA from 1 species